ensembl:snRNA U6 U6 spliceosomal RNA
GUGCUCAUCGUUCCAGCAUCACGUUCCUACAGUUGGGAUGACGCAGAGAAGGUCAGCGUGGCCCCUGCACAGGAUGACACGCAAGUCGGUGAAGCGUUACAUAUUUUA